AUGAACGCUGGCGGCGUGCCUAAUCCCUGCCAGUCGAGCGAACAGACGAGGAGCUUGCUCCUCUGACGUUAGCGGCGGACGGGUGAGUAACACGUGGAUAACCUACCUAUAAGACUGGGAUAACUUCGGGAAACCGGAGCUAAUACCGGAUAAUAUAUUGAACCGCUUGGUUCAAUAGUGAAAGACGGUUUUGCUGUCACUUAUAGAUGGAUCCGCGCCGCAUUAGCUAGUUGGUAAGGUAACGGCUUACCAAGGCGACGAUGCGUAGCCGACCUGAGAGGGUGAUCGGCCACACUGGAACUGAGACACGGUCUAGACUCCUACGGGAGGCAGCAGUAGGGAAUCUUACGCAAUGGGCGAAAGCCUGACGGAGCAACGCCGCGUGAGUGAUGAAGGUCUUCGGAUCGUAAAACUCUGUUAUUAGGGAAGAACAAAUGUGUAAGUAACUAUGCACGUCUUGACGGUACCUAAUCAGAAAGCCACGGCUAACUACGUG
rnacentral:rRNA from 1 species